GUAAUCAAAUAUUAUUCUGAGAAUCUUGAAAUGUUUUACUCCUUUUUUGUCUCCAGAGAAUGCUGUCUGACUGGUUUAGGUUGUCAAAGCCAACACCACCGACUGGUGCCCUGGAGAUUUGGUUAUCUUAAUUCCCGCAUGCGCAUCUUUCGGGAAUGAGGAAUUUUGGAAAGGCUGGAUGAGGGGACCACUGUGAUGAAUAAUUAUUUCAGAAUCAGCAUGCGGCAGCUAUUCACCGCGAGGUGUAUCCAACCUGAACUCCAAUAACUGCUCUGAAUACAGAAAGUAUGUGAUGAAUAUUUUGAAAUAUGAUUUAGACGGCGUGUAGCAUGCACUGAUCCAUCUCCAACGACGAAUACAGGAUCCGCUGGAGCUGGGCUGUGGAGACUGUCGCCUCCAGGAGAACCCAGGGUGACAUCCCAAGCUUUAUCCCUCUCCACAGAUUGAGUGGAUUACCAGACUACAGCGAAACCAGUGACCAGCCAGUGGGAUUCUUGUCCAGAGACAGGGAGGAAGAGCAGGAUCCCCCCACCCGGAGAAGGGUGGGGAGCAGGUCCAAGAAGAUCAGCUUUAACCUGAUGCAGAGUCUACUUCCUGUUAUCAACUCUACUGGAGCUAUCUCUGUAGUUGUGUGAGGGGUGGUCGAUAAUCAAAAAGGAACCAGAGCAGAGUUGAAAAGUG